CGUCACUCCGAAAUGUAUUAAAUACUAAUCCUCUCAUAAUAUUUAUUUUAUCUUCUCUUUUUAAAUAAUAAGUAUGAAGCCUACUAACUUUUUCAUCAUUUUUUUUUUUUUCUAUACCAGAUUACUCCCAACUAAAUCGUUCUUAAAAAUAAUUCUUCGUGCACGACAUGCAGCAAAAAUGACAUAGAGCACACCGCGACUGCUGAUUGAUCCACGUAGCAUAAAAAAAAAUACCCCUCCUAGCCAUCACCUG
rnacentral:lncRNA from 1 species